GCCCAGGUGGCGGAAUUGGUAGACGCGCUACAUUCAGGGUGUAGUGGGCGAAAGCCCGUGGAGGUUCGAGUCCUCUCCUGGGCA
rnacentral:tRNA from 1 species